rnacentral:rRNA from 1 species
AUGGCGAUCGCGCAAUCCCUAGCCCUGUCGUCCUCCGUAGCCGCCCGCGCCAGGGCCCGCCGCGCCGCGCCGUCCCGCGUGGCCGCCGCGGCGUCGGCGUCGGCGUCGGGCGAGCCCGCGCGGCGGCUCGCCGUCGAGUUCGACCCGGCGAUCCCGCUGGCCUCCGCGGUGACGCCGCCGAGCGGGUGGUACACCGACCCGGGGUUCCUCCGGCUCGAGCUCGACCGCGUCUUCCUCCGCGGGUGGCAGGCCGUUGGUCACAUAGGACAAGUCAAGAACCCAAAUGAUUUCUUCACUGGAAGCCUUGGAAAUGUAGAAUUUGUCAUAUGCCGGGAUGCAAAUGGGAAACUUCAAGCUUUUCACAAUGUGUGCCGUCAUCAUGCCUCACUCCUCGCAUGUGGAAGUGGUCAGAAGACUUGCUUCCAAUGCCCUUAUCACGGUUGGACAUACGGUUUAGAUGGUACCCUCCUGAAAGCUACAAGAAUAUCAGGAAUCAAGAACUUCAACAAGAAUGAUUUCGGUCUUUUACCAAUUAAGGUGGCUACAUGGGGACCUUUUGUGCUGGCCAGAUUUGAUGAUUCCUCUCAAGAUACUGUUGAUGAUGUGGUGGGCGAUGAAUGGCUGGGUAGUGCUUCAGAUCUGUUGAGUAGAAGUGGCAUUGACACUUCACUACCCCAUAUUUGCAGGCGAGAAUAUAUUAUCGAAUGUAACUGGAAGGUAUUUUGUGACAACUAUCUAGAUGGUGGAUAUCAUGUUCCAUAUGCACAUGGGGCCCUUGCAUCUGGCCUUCAGCUUCAAUCCUACGAAACACUUACAUAUGAAAAAGUUAGUGUUCAAAGAUGUGAAAGUGCCCCAGAAGAACAAGACAUUGAUCGCUUAGGGACGAAAGCUACAUAUGCCUUUGUUUAUCCAAACUUUAUGAUCAAUAGGUAUGGUCCAUGGAUGGACACUAAUCUAGCUGUUCCAUUGGAUGCAACCAGGUGUAAAGUGGUUUUUGAUUAUUUUCUGAACGAAUCUCUUCUGGAUGACCAGGAUUUCAUUGAUAGAAGCUUAAAGGACAGCGAACAAGUACAGAUUGAAGACAUUGCGCUGUGCGAGGGAGUCCACCGGGGCCUGGAGUCGCCGGCCUACGGCGUGGGCAGGUACGCGCCGUCCGUGGAGAUGGCCAUGCACCACUUCCACUGCCUCCUGCACGCCAACCUCAGUGGCUAG